GGCGCCUCUGCAGCUCAGGGGCUCACGCGCCGCCGGAGCCGGGCUGGUCUGCAGACUCUCCAGCCGGGCCGGCCCUUGUGUCCUCGGAUCCUGGAAGUCACCUCCCUCCCUGGCCAGGGGACAGAGGUGCUGCCAGUCUGCACCUGCCACAGGGACGCCAGGCCUCAGAAACACCCGGGACAUUGCCACCAGUGGAAAUGGCUGUGUUGGAGUUGAAGUCCUGACUCUCAGAUCUGGACUAAGCCUACGGAACUGACGCCUGGGCAGGUCAGCCAGGAUGUAUCUGAUUGGGUCCUGGAUGGCAGGAGACUCCAGUGGGUGCUGGCCACAGACUGUACACUUGAAACAGCAUGAGCUCAAUAGGCCCCCAAAGCCUGCAGCCCUAGUAUCCAGCAUGGCACCGCUGUUUCUCUCAGUUAUGGCCAGCAAGGAGUCUCUAGAGCCAUGGUCCUCAACCUUCGUACUGCUGCAACCCUUUAAAAUGCUGUGGUGAUCCCAAUCAUGAACUUAUUUUCAUUGCUACUUAGUAACUGUGAUUUCGCUACUGUUAUGAAGCAUAAAAGUAAAUAUCUGUGUUUUCC